UACGGAGGGGGCUAGCGUUGUUCGGAAUUACUGGGCGUAAAGCGCACGUAGGCGGAUAUUUAAGUCAGGGGUGAAAGCCCAGGGCUCAACCCUGGAAUUGCAUUCAAGACUGCCUUACUUGAAUUCGGUAGAGGUUGGUGGAAUUCCCAGUGUAGAGGUGAAAUUCGUAGAGAUUGGGAAGAACACCCGUGGCGAAGGCGGCCAACUGGACCGACAUUGACACUGAGGCGCGAAAGCGUGGGGAGCAAACAGG
rnacentral:rRNA from 1 species